UGAGGGUCAGAGCCAGCUGCCCUGCUGCCCAGCCCUUGAGGACACAGAGUCACACUCCUCUCCCACCCUCAAGUGCCUCGUGAACCCCUCUCUCCAGGAGGAGGGCAUCAUGACGCACUAGACCUGGCUGCAGGUGUGCAACCAGCGGAAAUGCCCAGCCCCGGGACCAGGGGACUAGGGACAGGAGCCUACCCUGUGCGGCUCUGAGGAGUGGCUGUGAGCACUGCACGCAGGACUGAGAAAGCCCGGGAUAAGCCCGGAGUGCAGGGAAACCCGCAGCCCCCUGGGCAGAUGUGGAGAAGAAUCUGGACAAGCUGACCGAGACCCCGGUACCGGGGGUCUCCGUGUGUGCCUGGCUGCGUGAUCAGGUGACCCCAGACUCUGAGGGCGUGGAACUGCUUUUGCCAGGAAAGCGCUCUGGGCAUGCUGUGUAGGGGUGAAUUACCCUUACCCCCUUCACCAAGACCCAGAACUGCCUUUCCUAGGGGUGAAGUAAGGUUUCCAGGGCCUCAUGUUGCAGAAAAAAAGAACCCUAAAUUAACAUACAGAGAGAUUAAAUUAUCUCCAUUCCCAAUCUGGCAUAUUUCCUAAACCUUAAAUAAUUUGAGAGGCUUCCAUGUGGGCUUCUGAGAAACAGGAGGGCAGCUGGGAGAACUUCCCACGCCCACAAGCCUUUGUGUGAAAAUCCCUAAAAAUAGAGGUUGUUCUUCUAAAAACAAAAGGGAAGGCUAAGCCAUGGGAACACUGACAGAACCUAACCUCUCGCUUCUGCUCCAGCAAAGACGCGUGUGAAGAUAUAGAACAUCAUAUUUGCCAUUUUUACCAUUUUAACUGUACAGUUCAGUGGUAUUAAUCACACACAAUAUUGUCCAACCAUCAUCGCUAUUUCCAAAACUUUCAUCGUCCCCAAUAGACACUCUGUACCCACUAAGUACUAACUCCCCGUUUCGUCUACCCUCAGAGGUAACUCCCCUCAUCUACUUCCCGUCUCUAUGGAUUUACCUAUUUUGUGUAUUUCAUGUAAGUAGAAUCAUACAAUACUUGUCCUUUUGUGUCUGGCUUACUUCACUCAGCAUAAUGUCCUCAAGGUUCAUCCAUGUUGUAGCAUGUGUCAGAAUUUCAUUCCCAGCAAAGAAAUUUUUAAUAACCCAUCUCUGCCAGAAAAAAAGACCCCCCAAAAGUUACAGAUUAACCAUCUGUGAACAAAGGAUGAAUGGGCGGACAGGCUGACACAGUCACGUUACUGGAAUCCAUUAUGCAGUCACCGCUUGGCAUCUGCAGGAAAUUAGUUCCAGGCCCCCUGACCAAUACCAAAAUGCGUAGAUGCUUAAGUCCCUGAUAUAAAGUGAUGUAGUAUUUGCAUUUAACCUACACACAUCCUCCCACAUACUUUAAGUCAUCUCCAGAUUACGUAUAAUACCUAAUUCAAGGCCAGGCACAGUAGCUCACACCUGUAAUUCCAGCACUUUGGAAUUACAAAAAUUCCAAAUCUCCAGGCCAAGGUGAGAGGAUCACGUGAGCCCAGGAAUUCAAGACCAGCUUGGGCAACACGGUGAGAGCCUAUUCUUUUCCCCA
rnacentral:lncRNA from 10 species